AUUGAACGCUGGCGGCAGGCCUAACACAUGCAAGUCGAACGGUAACAGGAAACAGCUUGCUGUUUCGCUGACGAGUGGCGGACGGGUGAGUAAUGUCUGGGAAACUGCCUGAUGGAGAGGGAUAACUACUGGAAACGGUAGCUAAUACCGCAUAACGUCGCAAGACCAAAGAGGGGGACCUUGGGGCCUCUUGCCAUCGGAUGUGCCCAGAUGGGAUUAGCUAGUAGGUGGGGUAACGGCUCACCUAGGCGACGAUCCCUAGCUGGUCUGAGAGGAUGACCAGCCACACUGGAACUGAGACGCGGUCCAGACUCCUACGGGAGGCAGCAGUGGGGAAUAUUGCACAAUGGGCGCAAGCCUGAUGCAGCCAUGCCGCGUGUAUGAAGAAGGCCUUCGGGUUGUAAAGUACUUUCAGCGGGGAGGAAGGGAGUAAAGUCAAUACCUUUGCUCAUUGACGUUACCCGCAGAAGAAGCACCGGCUAACCCCGUGCCAGCCGCCGCAGUAA
rnacentral:rRNA from 1 species